rnacentral:tRNA from 1 species
GCCUGGCUGGCCCAGCCAGUAGAGCAUGAGACUUUUGAUCUCGGGGUUGUGAGUUUGAGCCCCACGUUGGGUG